UACGUAGGGGGCAAGCGUUGUCCGGAUUUACUGGGCGUAAAGAGCGUGUAGGCGGCCAUGCAGGUCCGUUGUGAAAACUGGAGGCUUAACCUCCAGACGUCGACGGAAACCGCGUGGCUAGAGUCCGGAAGAGGAGAGUGGAAUUCCUGGUGUAGCGGUGAAAUGCGCAGAUAUCAGGAAGAACACCAAUGGCGAAGGCAGCUCUCUGGGACGGUACUGACGCUGAGACGCGAAAGCGUGGGAGCGAACAGG
rnacentral:rRNA from 1 species